AGUGAACGCUGGCGGUAGGCCUAACACAUGCAAGUCGAACGGCAGCACAGUAAGAGCUUGCUCUUACGGGUGGCGAGUGGCGGACGGGUGAGGAAUACAUCGGAAUCUACUUUUUCGUGGGGGAUAACGUAGGGAAACUUACGCUAAUACCGCAUACGACCUACGGGUGAAAGCAGGGGAUCUUCGGACCUUGCGCGAUUGAAUGAGCCGAUGUCGGAUUAGCUAGUUGGCGGGGUAAAGGCCCACCAAGGCGACGAUCCGUAGCCGGUCUGAGAGGAUGAUCAGCCACACUGGAACUGAGACACGGUCCAGACUCCUACGGGAGGCAGCAGUGGGGAAUAUUGGACAAAGGGCGCAAGCCUGAUCCAGCCAUACCGCGUGGGUGAAGAAGGCCUUCGGGUUGUAAAGCCCUUUUGUUGGGAAAGAAAAGCAGCAGGUUAAUACCCCGCUGUUCUGACGGUGCCCAAAGAAUAAGCACCGGCUAACUUCGUG
rnacentral:rRNA from 1 species